rnacentral:tRNA from 1 species
GCGGGAGUAAUUCAGUGGCAGAAUGUCGCCCUUCCAAGGCGAACGUCGCCGGUUCGAAUCCGGUCUCCCGCUC